AAGGGAUGGACUAAGUAGACAUUUCUUCCACAGACCAUCAAAGGCAUACACAACAGGCACAAGAAAAAGAAGGAAAAUCCAAACAGAAUGUCAAGAUUUGCAAGCUGCAGGUGGCGAUUGGCACGUACCUGUAACUCGGUAUAGAGGAACCACAAUUGAGCCAGGCUACGCCAACAGGGAUCACUCGACGACCUCGAAACUUCAAUAUGAAACUCGUUGGCAUAAGACAGGCAAGACAAGGCCAGUAAUGUUGAAUGGCAAGCAAAAGGGUUGCAAGAAAAUUCUAGUCCUCUACACAAACUUUGGCAAGAACCGGAAACCCGAGAAGACAA
rnacentral:lncRNA from 1 species